CCACUUGUGCGAUUACACUGGGUAUGUCCUUGUUGUUGUCCUUGUUUUUUCUUGCCAUCACAUUAAAUGUAGGGGCCUUUUUGUCUUUCACCAAAAUCCUUCCACUCUCUCUUUUCCAUCCUCAGCCGACACAAGAUCCGACAAAGAACAAUCUGAGCUUCAUCUUCCAAUGGGUCUGCAGAGCUUUGUCCCAAAUUUUUCUUUCUUUAGUAUUUGCAUUAGUUAAUAAUUACUCUAGUUUAUCGACAUUAACUUUUCAACAAGGAAAAGAAAAAACUGGAGUACUAAGCUGUCACCAAUAAUCAAGUAACUGACGUACACUGGGCUAUAAAUGCAACAGUAACUAGUUAUCCAAAAAAAAAAUGCAACAGUAACUUGAUUAAAAGUCAAAUAUUUCUGUCUUUACUCUGAACUGUAAGCUGAACUUUCAUAUGCUCAGCAUGUAAGUUGAAUUUAAAAGCAUCCAUUUUACCCAUUUUGAUGGUUUCGAUUAGUGCAACCAAAAAAGAUUCAAAAUCAAACCAAAGCUUCCUUAUUUUAUAUUACCCUUAAGACAUGAAAGAGGAGGAAAAAAGAUAAAGAGGAAGGAGCGAAGUUAUCCGGAGGAAUUUGAUGGGGANNN
rnacentral:lncRNA from 1 species